rnacentral:rRNA from 1 species
UACAGAGGUGGCAAGCGUUGUUCGGAAUCACUGGGCGUAAAGCGCACGUAGGCGGAUCUUUAAGUCAGGGGUGAAAUCCCGAGGCUCAACCUCGGAACUGCCUUUGAUACUGGGGAUCUCGAGUCCGGGAGAGGUGAGUGGAACUGCGAGUGUAGAGGUGAAAUUCGUAGAUAUUCGCAAGAACACCAGUGGCGAAGGCGGCUCACUGGCCCGGAACUGACGCUGAGGUGCGAAAGCGUGGGGAGCAAACAGG